UACGUAGGGUGCAAGCGUUGUCCGGAAUUAUUGGGCGUAAAGAGCGUGUAGGCGGCCCGAUUAGUCCGCUGUGAAAGUCCAGGGCUCAACCCUGGAAUGCCGGUGGAUACUGUCGGGCUAAAGUCCGGAAGGGGCGAGUGGAAUUCCUGGUGUAGCGGUGAAAUGCGCAGAUAUCAGGAGGAACACCAAUGGCGAAGGCAGCUCGCUGGGACGUGACUGACGCUGAGACGCGAAAGCGUGGGGAGCAAACAGG
rnacentral:rRNA from 1 species